GUUUACAUCCCAGCGUCAAACAAUGGGCAAGUCAGCAAGUUAGGUACUGUAAAUAGCUAGCUGGCAAUGAUGAAAUAAAACACUCGUUUUCUACUGUAAUGAACAGCUUCAAAACAUUUUUAACUUUACUAUUUCGUAUUUAAAAAGUGUCAAUGAAUGGGCUACUAGCACUAGCUAGCGUUGCCCACUUACUACUUGCUACCUAGCUAGCUACUUUAAGACACCGGGAAAACCAUGAUAUGAGAGGUCCACAGAUGUAUGAAGUCUAGUUGGAGGAGAGAGGUUGAAGAAAUCUUCACGACGUGAGGACAUGUAGCAGACAUCCCAACCUGCAAAAGGUCAUUUCAGGGAGGUAUCCCGAAGCCCCCCCAAUAAAAAGGAGGACAAUGAUAUUACUUUUACAAUCAUUUAACCCACCAUGGGCAAUGCUGAAGUCGCUGUUGCAAACUGUACAGCGUGCAAGACUGUCAUUUCGUGUAGUCUUGCAUAAAAUGUAUAUUGUAUUUGCGUUUUUUGGGGCACUUUCCCUCUGCCAUGGCGCUCUUGUUUCUAUACAGAACUGACUGAGUAUUCAGUUCCGGACUCGAGAGGAGAUAAAAGCCCGCCCACACUGACAAUUGAUUGGUUGACUUACCGAAACAGGCCAAUCACGAUGCUCUCUGUUACAUGCGCUUCAUGGGGCACACACGCAGACUAGCACACACACACGCAAGGUCUCUCGCUCCCUCUCCCUCUCUGCCGUGCGCGCGCUACACGGUUUGAAGCAGUCUCUGUCUCGCAUGCUCUUAGAAAGCCUAUGGUGUAAAUGGAUGGACAGGAUUGAGUUAGAUUUUUCUGAGAUGCAGUUCUAUUUGGCAGGGGAAAACCCUCUUUUAUAUCAGGUUAUAAACCCCAAAUUUAACAUUGUUUAUUGCGAUUAUAUUUUGUUUUCCGAUCCUCAAGUAACUAUUGAGAAGGACGUUGUACAGCUGACUAACUUAAUUGCAGUUUGCUAGCUACCUCACAAGCUGCUCCAGCAGAGGGCACCCUCCUUUAUUUCAAAUACUACUGACCAAGUUGUACUCCAUCAAUCAGUUGCUCUCCAGUAGGAAGCCAGGCCUGGAUUUGCAGCAAAAUUUAAAAAAUAAAUUGUAUAAAUGCAUAAUUUGGUUUAAGGUAGGCUUAUGUUUUCCUAAAUUGUCCUCCUGAAGUGUGUACUAGUUUAGUGUUCCUUAUUCUAAGCAGAAUGACAGGGUACAACGGCGGACUCAAAUGCACGACUCAGAGGGGUGUCACAAGUAACAGUCUUUAUUGUUCCAAGAACAAAAUGCAGGCAGAGUUACAAAAACAGCAGGCAAAAAAUCGUAGUCGAGAACCGAAGCAAGAGGUCUAGUAACACGGGACAACAAACACUGGAGGAAAACGCUGGAGAGAGUGACAUAAGUACAACUUCAAUCUGGCACUGGGAAGUGGGACUGGGGGCUCAGGCUGAUGAUCAGUCUCCGUAGCUGAGAGAAACUUUGGAGGAACUUCGUUGUCAAUAACACUGCUAAUAUUUCUAACUGUACUGAUGUGGAAGGGCAGACAUACAGUAUAUUAUCAUUAAACAGUAUUAAGUCAAAUGUACAGCGCCACUUAGUGAGGGAACAUUUGAUCCCCUGCUGAUUUAGUACA